rnacentral:rRNA from 1 species
GACGAACGCUGGCGGCGUGCUUAACACAUGCAAGUCGAACGGAAAGGCCCUGCUUUUGUGGGGUGCUCGAGUGGCGAACGGGUGAGUAACACGUGAGUAACCUGCCCUUGACUUUGGGAUAACUUCAGGAAACUGGGGCUAAUACCGGAUAGGAGCUCCUGCUGCAUGGUGGGGGUUGGAAAGUUUCGGCGGUUGGGGAUGGACUCGCGGCUUAUCAGCGUGUUGGUGGGGUAGUGGCUGACCAAGGCUUUGACGGGUAGCCGGCCUGAGAGGGUGACCGGCCACAUUGGGACUGAGAUACGGCCCAGACUCCUACGGGAGGCAGCAGUGGGGAAUAUUGCAAAAUGGGCGGAAGCCUGAUGCAGCAACGCCGCGUGCGGGAUGACGGCCUUCGGGUUGUAAACCGCUUUCGCCUGUGACGAAGCGUGAGUGACGGUAAUGGGUAAAGAAGCACCGGCUAACUACGUG